rnacentral:tRNA from 1 species
GCCUUCGUGGUGUAGUGGUCAGCACCCUCGGCUGCGUAUUCGAGAGUUCCCUGGUUCGAGUCCCGGCGAGAGCA